rnacentral:lncRNA from 1 species
UCAGGACCGUCGAUCCAUCAGAGUUAUGACAGUGGAGAAGCAGCCAUGUGAGCAAGAAGUGACAGCUCACUCAAGUGGCAGUUAGGGGCACUCUCUCUCCUUAUCUUAUUGGACGCCUAUAUUUAGGGUUUAGGGUUUAUGAUUUUUUUUUUAAAUUCAACCAGAGUCCACAUGUGGUACUCUUGGUUAAGUGUUAUGAGAAAAGUUGAGUACAUCAUUUAGCACAUAAAUUAGCUAAAUAUUUGUUGAAAAAAUGGAAUACAUGGGGGGAGAAUUUGUCACAACAAGCAUGGGCAAGGUUCCCGCUUGGAUGAC